rnacentral:rRNA from 1 species
AACGCGAAGAACCUUACCUACUCUUGACAUCCAGAGAACUUUCCAGAGAUGGUUUGGUGCCUUCGGGAACUCUGAGACAGGUGCUGCAUGGCUGUCGUCAGCUCGUGUUGUGAAAUGUUGGGUUAAGUCCCGCAACGAGCGCAACCCUUAUCCUUUGUUGCCAGCGGUCCGGCCGGGAACUCAAAGGAGACUGCCAGUGAUAAACUGGAGGAAGGUGGGGAUGACGUCAAGUCAUCAUGGCCCUUACGAGUAGGGCUACACACGUGCUACAAUGGCGCAUACAAAGAGAAGCGACCUCGCGAGAGCAAGCGGACCUCAUAAAGUGCGUCGUAGUCCGGAUUGGAGUCUGCAACUCGACUCCAUGAAGUCGGAAUCGCUAGUAAUCGUAGAUCAGAAUGCUACGGUGAAUACGUUCCCGGGUCUUGUACACACCG